AAAAAUCAUUUAUUUUAAUUGUAUGCUUUGAAUGCUGUUUGUUUUAGCCAAACUGUUUUAGUUCAAUUGUUGCAACUAAUAUAAUCCACCAACUUUUAUUUAAAUGUGAUAAUGGGGAAAGAGUCACUUAUUUUGCUAUUCUCAGUUUUAUAUUUUUCUUGUAAUGGGGCUUUUAAAAAAUGUAUAUACUAACUAAGGGGCUGGUUAAUUGGUUAGCUAACUGAGUGAUUUCAGCAGAGGAGGAGGAAGAGUCUCCAUGGAUUCCAGCUGAAAACUUCUAGAAGCAAGUGGUGAGAAGAUGCUGCUUUUGCCUCAGCAGAUUGUAUAGAUUUGGUGAUCAAAGACUGUAACUGAGACCCAGCCUGUGUACAUGUCAAAGGCUGUGUGAAUUCAGAGGGAGUGAAGGGCACGCCGCACCUUCCAGGAUCCAGGCCUGUGUUGCUGCCAUCCAGAACACUGAAUAUCCUGUGUUUCUCUAUGGCAUUGUUGUAGCCAUGUUGGGCCCAGGAUAUGAGAGAGACAAGAUGGGUGAAGUAAUAUCUUCUAGUGGACCAACUUCUGUUGGUGAAGGAGACAAGCAUUCCAGAUCCACAGAGCCCAACAUCAAUAUCAGAUGGUACGGACAUACAGUUAGGAAAUCCAGUUCUGCCCUUGGACACUGAAACUCCAUAAUGAGCAAAGUUCUGUUAAAUGUCAUGUAACUUUGAUUGUUUUGAAUUAAACAUUAAUUGCCAUCUCAA